rnacentral:rRNA from 1 species
UAGAGUUUGAUCCUGGCUCAGAACGAACGCUGGCGGCAUGCCUAACACAUGCAAGUCGAACGAAGCCUUCGGGCUUAGUGGCGCACGGGUGCGUAACGCGUGGGAAUCUGCCCUUAGGUACGGAAUAACUCAGGGAAACUUGAGCUAAUACCGUAUAAUGACUCCGGUCCAAAGAUUUAUCGCCUAAGGAUGAGCCCGCGUCGGAUUAGCUAGUUGGUAGGGUAAAAGCCUACCAAGGCGACGAUCCGUAGCUGGUCUGAGAGGAUGAUCAGCCACACUGGGACUGAGACACGGCCCAGACUCCUACGGGAGGCAGCAGUGGGGAAUAUUGGACAAUGGGCGAAAGCCUGAUCCAGCAAUGCCGCGUGAGUGAUGAAGGCCUUAGGGUUGUAAAGCUCUUUUACCCGGGAUGAUAAUGACAGUACCGGGA